GAGAGAUGGCUGAGUGGUCGAAGGCGACGGUCUUGAAAACCGUUGAGUGCUCUUGUGCUCCCAGGGUUCGAAUCCCUGUCUCUCC
rnacentral:tRNA from 1 species